CAGGUCGUAGCUAAAACCAUAGAAUAGCGUCUCCCUUACACCGAGAAGAUGCCUGUGCAAAUCAGGCCGACCUGA
rnacentral:tRNA from 1 species